UCUCAUAUUCCAGAGCCCGUGGUGAC
rnacentral:piRNA from 1 species